rnacentral:autocatalytically_spliced_intron from 1 species
AAUUGAUUUUGCCUCACGUUAAAAACCUCGCAAAAACGGGGAAAGCUGAGAUGCUAAUCCCGUGGUAAUCAAAGGAAGUAAAAAGCCUUUGACACCGUACAGCGUAGAGAGUGAAACUAGAUUACAUCGAAAAUUGGUGUCUAGAAUAUAAUCUCUCCAAGAGUGCGGGGGCGGAUGUGAAAAACACUUUUAUCAUCUGAAGUCACAUCUGCAAAAUGUACGCGGAACUACUGCGAAUAAUCAAGCAGUAGAACUAGGGGAUAAAAAGCCUCUAGGGUAACAAAUCUG